CCUACGGGUGGCAGCAGUGGGGAAUAUUGCACAAUGGGGGAAACCCUGAUGCAGCGACGCCGCGUGAGUGAAGAAGUAUCUCGGUACGUAAAGCUCUAUCAGCAGGGAAGAUAAUGACGGUACCUGACCAAGAAGCCCCGGCUAACUACGUGCCAGCAGCCGCGGUAAUACGUAGGAUGCUAGCGUUAUCCGGAUUUAUUGGGUUUAAAGGGUGCGCAGGCGGAGGUGCAAGUCAGCGGUCAAAUGGCGGGGCUCAACCCCGUACUGCCGUUGAAACUGCAUACCUUGAGUGCGCGAGAGGUAUGUGGAAUGCGUGGUGUAGCGGUGAAAUGCAUAGAUAUCACGCAGAACUCCGGUGGCGAAGGCAGCAUACCGGCGCGCAAAUGACGCUCAUGCACGAAAGCGUGGGUAUCGAACAGGAUUAGAUACCCCUGUAGUC
rnacentral:rRNA from 1 species